GCAGUGGUGGUUCAGUGGUACAAUUCUCGCCUUCCGUGCAGGAGACCUGGGUUCGAUUCCCAGUGAAUGCA
rnacentral:tRNA from 1 species